rnacentral:rRNA from 2 species
CUGCUCAGGAUGAACGCCGGCGGUGUGCCUAAUACAUGCAAGUCGUACGCACUGGCCCAACUGAUUGAUGGUGCUUGCACCUGAUUGACGAUGGAUCACCAGUGAGUGGCGGACGGGUGAGUAACACGUAGGUAACCUGCCCCGGAGCGGGGGAUAACAUUUGGAAACAGAUGCUAAUACCGCAUAACAACAAAAGCCACAUGGCUUUUGUUUGAAAGAUGGCUUUGGCUAUCACUCUGGGAUGGACCUGCGGUGCAUUAGCUAGUUGGUAAGGUAACGGCUUACCAAGGCGAUGAUGCAUAGCCGAGUUGAGAGACUGAUCGGCCACAAUGGAACUGAGACACGGUCCAUACUCCUACGGGAGGCAGCAGUAGGGAAUCUUCCACAAUGGGCGCAAGCCUGAUGGAGCAACACCGCGUGAGUGAAGAAGGGUUUCGGCUCGUAAAGCUCUGUUGUUGGAGAAGAACGUGCGUGAGAGUAACUGUUCACGCAGUGACGGUAUCCAACCAGAAAGUCACGGCUAACUACGUGCCAGCAGCCGCGGUAAUACGUAGGUGGCAAGCGUUAUCCGGAUUUAUUGGGCGUAAAGCGAGCGCAGGCGGUUGCUUAGGUCUGAUGUGAAAGCCUUCGGCUUAACCGAAGAAGUGCAUCGGAAACCGGGCGACUUGAGUGCAGAAGAGGACAGUGGAACUCCAUGUGUAGCGGUGGAAUGCGUAGAUAUAUGGAAGAACACCAGUGGCGAAGGCGGCUGUCUGGUCUGCAACUGACCGCUGAGGCUCGAAAGCAACCAGUGGCGAAGGCGGCUGUCUGGUC